rnacentral:rRNA from 1 species
UACGUAGGUCCCGAGCGUUGUCCGGAUUUAUUGGGCGUAAAGCGAGCGCAGGCGGUUUAAUAAGUCUGAUGUAAAAGGCAGUGGCUCAACCAUUGUGUGCAUUGGAAACUGUUAGACUUGAGUGCAGUAGAGGAGAGUGGAAUUCCAUGUGUAGCGGUGAAAUGCGUAGAUAUAUGGAGGAACACCGGUGGCGAAAGCGGCUCUCUGGACUGUAACUGACACUGAGGCUCGAAAGCGUGGGUAGCAAACAGG